rnacentral:rRNA from 1 species
GACGAACGCUGGCGGCGUGCCUAACACAUGUAAGUCGCACGGGACCGGGGGCAACUCCGGUUCAGUGGCAGACGGGUGCGUAACACGUGAAGAACCUGUCCAACGGCGGGGGAUAGCCGGCCCAACGGCCGGGUAAUACCGCAUACGAUCGUUCGGGGGCAUCCCUGGGCGAUGAAAGCAGCCGCAAGGUUGCGCCGAUGGAGGGCUUCGCGGCCUAUCAGCUAGUUGGCGGGGUAACGGCCCACCAAGGCAACGACGGGUAGCUGGUCUGAGAGGAUGGCCAGCCACAUUGGGACUGAGACACGGCCCAGACUCCUACGGGAGGCAGCAGUGGGGAAUCUUGCGCAAUGGCCGCAAGGCUGACGCAGCGACGCCGCGUGUGGGAUGACGGCCUCGGGUUGUAACCACUGUCGGGAGGAACGAAUACUCGGCUUCGAUAAGGAGACCGAGGGU